UAGUUAAUUUGCAAGUCAGGCACAGGCUUUAGUCUCCUGUGAGCAUCUUUUUGGCCCUGGCACAUCAAGGUUUUCUUUUGCCAUGACUUUAAGGACAAGAAGCUUGGAUUUGUGAAUGAAGACUAGCCAUCUCUAGUGUUGCUUUCCUGUUGAGAAAGCCACCAUACUGGAUACUGUUCGUGAGCUCCUUAUUUUGAAUGCAGAGGGAAAGGAAACCAACUUGAGAAUCAGUUUGUUAAGUAAUUCUCACAAAACCCCUGCAGAAGAGAUAAUAACAUCAUUCUAAUUUUCAAGAUGAGGAAACUGAGGUUUGAGGGGGUUUGAUGGUUUUCCCAGUGCCACCCAGUUAGUAAGUGGCAGAGUCAGGGUAGAAGUGAGGUUGCAUUCCAAGCCCAUGCCUUUUUCAAACAACCAUAUCUGAAUUCUGUGGAAGAUGGGUACUUGCAAAAGGAAAAGGGCAAAAUAGAAAGUGAAUGGAGGAUUGAAGUGCUAGAGAAGUAAAGUGUGUCUUGUGGGGGUUACAUAUGGGUUUUGAAAUAAGCAAAUAUUCUUAUUUUGAAUAACUUUCAAAACAAAUGUUUUCAAAGCCUUUUUGAAGGUAUUUGUCAUGAGAUUAGCUCCUGCAGACAUGUCACCAAGGAGAGGAAAACAGGAAGUUGAAGACAUUUGAAAGUGGACCAUGGUUGCAAUCCACAGUUUUAGCAGUAGCUUCUUUCCCAGUCACUAGUGCUGAAGUAAGGGCAACAACACUGCUGGCUAGCCUUGGGUAUUAUAGCUUCUCAUUCAGAGAUGGGGAAGACAGCAACCAUUAAUACAGCCAGAGGGAAGAUCUGAUUCUCAUAUACAUUUAGCAUGCUCCCUGCAAGUGGGGGUGAGGUUUUUUUGGUCUUUUUAGGGCUGCACCCACAGCAUAUGGAGGUUCCCAAGCUAGGGGUCAGAUCAGAGCAGCAGCUGCUGGCCUAUGGCAUAGCCACAGCAAGGCAGGAUCUGAGCCACAUCUGUGACCCACACCACAGAUCAUGGCAUCACCGGAUCCUUAACCCCUUGAGAGAGGACGGGGAUCAAACCUGCAUCCUCAUGGAUACUGGUUGAGUUCAUUACCACUGAGCCAUGCAGGGAACUCCAUAGUUUGUAAAAGGAUAAUAAUCAGCUUAGAAUAGGAGGUGGGGGUAAAAAGGAGAAUCUCUGAGUUGGAGUUGAGAGAUGCUGGAAAAUAACAAUGAUUCCCUUUGAGGGAAAAAAGAGAACAAAGCAAAAGAUGGAAACCUGAAAUUUCCUGCCAAAUGGCAAAUGAAGUGGACUGGUAUUCCAUGAACAGAAGGCUACGUAGAAGAUUGAGAGAAUCCCAGGUCAGAACCAGGGGACCAUCUCAGCUGAGAUUGCGAUGGAGGGAGCCAUGCAGAAGAAAUUUCUAUCAUAAGUCAAAGUGUGGGAGCAACUGGGGGCCAAAUCAGAAAAAUAAAAUCCUUGCCCUGCCAAGAAUGGACAUAAGCUGAGGAAGACUACAUCCUCCUGGAAACCUUGCCUGGAGAUACUAUCAGAGACUGGCUCUGGGAUUAACCACAAGGCCACAGAUCCCAGACACAACCUCAAAAUUCUCAUGACAUAGGUCUCUAGGAAUCAGAGAUAGUUUUCACUGAUAGCAUUCAAGCUGUCAUUGAUGACCAUGGAAUGUAACAACUUUCUUACUUUUCUAACACCCAGCUCAAAUGUCCCUUCCUCUGUCAACCCUUCCUAAACUCUGACACAUGGUUACUCUUACUGCCCUUGGUCCUUUCUCUUUUAGCUCUCACCCCUCUGCUGGAUCAAUGUUCCUUGAUAGCCAAGUAUUUUCUCCAGAUGGAGCUCACUGUGAACAACAGGAAAGUCCUUCUCAUAUGUGCCUCCCUGACCUUGGGAAAAUAUUAUUUCUACUUUUGUUAAAGAGCUUGCCCAGGGUCUCAUCAUGGUAAGUGGAAGUGAUAGAUUUGGAGUCGAAAGAGUCUGAUUUCAAGCCCUGGCUCCUUCCUUUAACUCUGCAUUCGGUGACAUGGCCUCCAGCAGGUUGGCCAGGCAUAGGUAGGAGGAUAAUAUGGCUGAAUUUGUGAGCACUGUUGGAUGUGUAAGGAAUUUCAUGGCUGUUUUGGAAAUGGAAUCUCCAACUCCACCCUCAAGAACUUCCCUCUUCUGUGGUGUGGUGUAUUACACAUACUGGGAUCAAACUAGUCUGAACGAACCCGAUUUUUGACAACCAUCCUAACACUACUGCCUUCCUUCAGUCGCAGCUGAACUAUUUUUGUCUAACUUGGCUGCCUAACUUACAAUUUUUUUUUUUUUUCAAAUCAGAUGUCUCCAUGCCUAUUGAAACUGAGAGAAUUAUUUUAUAAUCAUGCUCUCUGGAAACAAAAUCGUCAAUGGAAAUUUUUAAUUAAAAAAGAAUGUGGUAGAAACACAAAUUUAAAUCACGAAUUGAAAACACUCGGCAACAUCUUUAUCCACUAGACUGUAAAAUAUUCUGCGACCAUCUGUGGAAAUUUAUAGGUAUUAAAUUAGACACAGGUUGGUUUUUCUGUUUUCUGAUUGGAAAAUCACACAUCACACAGCAACAACAUAAAACCAAUUGUGAUGUCUAGUCCCGUCAAGGUCAAAACACAUGUGCAAAUGAGAAGAAAAUUAUAUGUUUUGUCCUUGAACAAAAAGACCUCUACUAAUGUUCUUAUUAAAUAUUAAAUUUCAUGUUUAAAAGGCAUGAAAAGACAUGUUUCUAAAAGAUAAGAAAGCAAAUAUAACAUCCACUCAAGGGUCUGAAUUAUAUUCAAAAGUGAUGAUGAUAGAGACACAUGUGUGAUGUAUGAGGUUAGUCUUGCUUUGUUUAUAUUCCAUUGUUUUCCUGUGAAUAUAUUUUUCAGUCUGUGUUCAGCUCCUUAAAAAUACUAGUCACUGGCUAUUCCACAGAAUCAAGAAAAUGAAUGCAGGAGAAUCAUUCCAUUUGACCAUUUGACAAAAGAGCAUAUCAAUAUUUCCUGGCCUGAGGGCAGGAGGCCGGUCAAGGUGACCCCCUGAGGUUCUGCAGGAUGAAGAAACCUUGCUUUGGAACCCUGUCCCCAAGAGAAAUUUUAUAGAUCCUUGAAAAGUGAAUUGUCAAGGGCAAGGGGACAAGUAGUCCUUGUUCAGAGCUAGGAGACCUGGUUCUGCUCUUGGUGCGACCCCACUGGGUUUGCAGUUGUCUAAGGUCAUUUUUGGCAGAGGCACUGUUUAAGAGCCACACUUGAUGGCUCCAACCCCAGCUGAACUCCAAUCCUUGGAUUCAUUCCAACCCUGUCUUUUACUGAUGUAAUUUGUUAUCAUUUAACUCUCAUUGUUAAGUUCCUAUGCAUUAAUAUUACUGUCUUCCAAAAUACAUAAUGAAUUCCCUAGGAGACUGUGACUUCAUGGAGGCACUACGGGGUAAUAGCUACAGUGUGACCUGUGCUGCCAGGCUGAGCCUGCUCCAUCUCCACCCAACUGGGCUAUGCCUCCAUUUCCACCUCUGCAGGAUGCGGUUGUGAUUGAACGAGUUCGUGUAUAUAAAGUGCUUAGCAUGGGCCCGGCAUGGGCUGAACACUGUAUUACAUAGUAAUGUAUAUAGUAAGUAUAUUACUAUAGAACACAUGUAUUAUUUCUUCCUGACCUUGUUAUGGUAUUUGGCAUACUGCCUGGCGCAGCCCAGUUUAGCAUUUUUCUUGAUUGUCUUCUUUCCUUUCAUCCUUCCUUCAUUUCCUGUUCAGCAAAUAUUUGUUAGGCAAAUAGAGCCUUUGAAAUACGACUGAUAGUGAUUAAAAUGGAGAGGU
rnacentral:lncRNA from 1 species